UUAAGAUUUAACUUGAAGUUUUAUUUUAGCGCUUGUCCAAUAUAGAAUAUCACAGCACUCCACUGAAUAAUAGGUAAAUAUAUAAGCAUAACUAGUCAGUAAAAGCGAGAAAAACUAGGUAUUUAACUAGUUUAAAACAGGAAGAAAGUUGGCUAGGUGCAUAAUAUGGUAGAUUGAAUUAUUUUGACUGUAAUUAGUAGAGCGUUUAGGAAUAGUAAAUAAUCGUGCAAUAAAUUAAGCUGUAUGAGGAGACUCAGAAGUUAAUAAGGAAAAGGAGCAUUGGAGCAUCAGCAGAACCGCCAAAUAAAUUUUGGUUGGAACUUUAUAUUGUUGUAUAUUCUUCUAUGAUCUAGGUCUAUCCAAUCUAUCCAUCUAUCUAACCAAUGGAGAACAGACGAAUAGUCGUGCAAUGUGUGAGGAAUAUUUAAAAUACAAUUGGCAUAGAAUUGAAAACUUCUUUGAAGUCACUCUAUGGUAGCAUAAUUAGAAGCAAAUAGGGAAUCCUACAGUCAUUGACCAGUUUUUCUAGCAGGAACAAAUUAACGAUCAAAAAAGAACUUCUAGUGGAGAGGUUAGCUUAAAAUCAGAUCAUUCAAAGUCUUAUAGGCCUUAUAACUUACUGAUAAAAUGUGAGAGUGGUAACUAUAGUCAGAGGAUAAGAAAACUUCCAUUCCAGCCUUCGGGUUGAUCUUACAGUUGACCAACAAUAAAUUUAUAUUGUUUAUCAAGUAACUGAUUUUGUUUAAUUUAAGGGAAUGAAUACAGUUUAGCUCCCAAGAUAUUUAUUGGAAUUUUUUUUUCAUAAUGUGUGUUUU